AUCGCUCGUUGUGUUCCUGUAGCACAUUGGACUCCUAAUCCAAAGGACGUAGGUUCGAAUUCUACCUGGGAUG